AAAGAACGAGAAUCUUUUGAUCUAUUUUAUUAAUUCACCAUUUAAUAAGGGUAAGAAGAGCUCAACACAUGUAUGAUUAGGUAAUGACAUUAGGGUUUGCAUGAUAUAAUUAAUGUAUUUGGUUACAUCGUGUACUAAUACACAUUUUAGGUUUGACUUUGUAGGUGAUCGUAAACCAACGAUCACGUUUUCUUGAAAACUGAUGAUUUUUUCACCACUCAAUUAAUUUGAUUUAGUUUAGGUUAUACUAGAGAAAAUUAAAGGAGACGUGAUUUUUAAUCUUCUCGUUUUGGUUUAUCAGCUUUCUUUAUUUUUCUGGGCUUUGGUAAGCAACUCGUGACUCUUCUGAUCUAAUUUGCUUCUUCUUUUUUUAAUUGCAUGCAUGGUGAAGAAAGUUUUAAAGAGUGAAUUGAUUAGUCCCACAAGAAAGAAAUAUAGUUUCUUGUGCAUUUUGUUUAUAGCCUGCCCGGUUACAUUUUGUACUUUUUACAUUUUAAACUGUUUUAAAGUACGUAUAUAUAACAAUUUUCCUUCUAACACCCCAACAAAAUUGUUGAAAUUCGAAUAUUAACAAAAACUAUGUUCAGUAGACAAAAAAAAAACAUGAUGAAUUAUGUGCAUGCACAAAUCUCAAGUAGGAUGAGAUGUCAUGGCAUUCAUGAGAUGUGAAAGUCAAAGGGAGCUGACUUGUGUACUCUGCAAAUAAUAAAUACAUAAAAUAAUGUAUGUGAACAUAUGCUUCACAUAUAUAGUACUAUAUACAGAUUAUGCAAAUAGGUAACCCUAAAUCAUCACACACGUAGCAAUAGCAUCAUCAAAUAUAUGUAUAUAACUCUGGAAAGGGGCUGAACGCGAAAACCUUGUGAUAGACAUACCCUUUUCACCUAUUCUUAUUUUAUAUAUGAUAAAAAUAUACGUUUUGUACAUUGUUAAACUGAUUUUUCUCUAUAUAUUUGUUUAAUAUUAAGUUAUACUCCUUUGGGUUGAAAACAAGUUUUGUAAAAUAUUUGCUAGCUUUGGUUUGCAUUUUUAUAAGAUGUUUUCUUCUAAGUCUUCUAGACUGCAUAUAAUGCAAUAAACUACAUUUGAUAUUUUCUUAUAGUAAAAAGGAUAUUUUCUUAUAUUGCAGCACAUUGACUGUUAAAUUGCGAAAAAUGAACAUGUGUGUAACAAAAUGGAACAACUGUAAAUGUCAGAUAAGGAGUAGAUGGCCUGCCAACUUCAGUAUGCAAAGUGCAUUUAUAACUCAGCGUUGACUCUCUUCUUUUCUUAGUGAGACAACUCAAAUGAGGCGAAAACUAGACAACUAUGCCAAUAAUUCUUUUAUACUGUUGUAAAUUAUAUACACAUGAUGAAAUCAUGAUUAUGCAUUUAAUUUUCGGUACUAAUUGCCUCCCAACCUAAUUUUUCAAAAGCAUUUACUAUCGUAGUUGGCUUAUUUCUUUAGACAAAUUUACAAAAACCAAACUAGAAGUCACUGAAGAAUGUUGCCCAAGAAAAAUAUAAAUCUAUUAAAAGAAAAAAAUUAUACUUCAUCCGUUUUUAAAUAAUGUAUACUUUAGCAUUUUUUACUUGUUUCUAAAAAAUCAAUAUUUUAGAUUUUCUAUGUAUUUUUAAUAAUGAAUUGUAAACUUCAAAAAAAUAUUAAUUGACAAUUUUAGAUUUAUUGAAUUGCUAUUGGUUUAAAUUUACGGGAAACUGUUAUAAUUUAAAAAAAAUAAUGAAUCAAUAGUUAAAUAUUAAAUUUUUCUUAAUAUUUGUGAAAAAUCUAAAGCAUGCAUUAUUUAGGAACAGAGGAAGUAAGUUAUAACCUGGUAUUUGGUAGAAAUUUCUCGUUGAAUUUGUGUUUUUGUUGCAAAUAGUAAGUUUAUCUACUUUAGAUGUUUUUUUUCAAAAGUACACGUUUUGUUAAAACUGAGGCCUUGAUCGACUAGAUUAUUGAUCAAAUUCAAUAUUUUAUUAAUAAAAAUGUAUUUUAUCAGAUGGAAUUGUUAAAUGAAAUACCUUCUCCAUCUGGAUUUAACAUUGUCUGUUCGUUAAAUUUUAACAAGCUUUCCACACGGAGUAUGGCUUUUUGGACAAGCCAUUUCUUUCCCAUUUAUUAGGUUAUGAAUUUUAUAUUUGGGUUAUUUGAUUUUUUUCUUACUUGAUUUAGUUUUUGACGGGAGGUUGUUAAAAAUUUGUUUGGUUUGAAUAUAUAUAAUUGAGUAUAAGAGUAUUUAUGUAUUAUUAGAUGUUAUAUUAAUAUAUUUAUCCCAAAUAAUAAGAGAAGUAUACAUAUUAUUUUAAUAUUGUAUUUGUUAUUAUAGUUGAAGAUUAAGUAAAUCAUCUUAUACAAAUAAAUGAUUAUAAUUUUCAGAAUAAAUGUAACUGAUUAGUUUCAAAAUAUAAGUUUUUAAAAGUUUUUUUGAAUAUUUUUUAAUAUAAAUCAAAUUUGGAUGUAGUUUUCAUUAUUUUUGUUAAUUUUUUAAGGUUGAUGACCGAAAAAGAGAAAAUUCCCUGAGAUUCAUUUUUCGCUGAUCCUUCUGUGAUGAAAUGUGAGAACAAAUCAAAACGUAUAUAUUCUUUUUAUUCUUAUGAAUUUUGUUCUUUAGUGUUAUAAUUGUUGUGAGUUAUAUCAUGUGAUUUUAAUAAAUUAUUUUAGCGGCUACAUCAAUGUUAAAUGUUAUUUAGUUGAAAUAUACAUUAUUAUAAAAUACUUAUAGAAUAUUAUCUGUUCUACUAAUAUAUUUGGUUUAGAUAAUAGUAAUAUAAAAUAUGUGGAGCAUUUACAAAUUUUUAAAUUGUUCGAGGAUGUGUUAAAUUCUUAUAAAACACUUGAUGAGGUAGCAUCAUAUAAGAAUAGAUCAGGUUCUACUUUGUACAUAUAGAUACCUAACAAAAUAAAAUAAACGUUCUUGGUUAAAUAUUUAAAUUUAAACUUUAUAUUAUUUAUGGAAUACUGGAAUAGUAAACUAUAUAUAUUGCAUGAUAUCGGUUAACAUGAUUUCUUUCAUGAGGAAAAAAGUAUAUAUGUAUUAAUUGCGGUUGAUACAGUGUAUGAUUCUUUUCUCAAAAAAAAAUAAACUUCAUAAAGAACAAAAUCAAUCACUCAUAAAAGGUUAUUUUUUGAAUUAAUUCUGUUUAGUUAUUUUUGAUAUUCAUCUAUAUAAAUAGUUCAUUGGGACAUAGUUUUUCUUUCAUGUAGUUGUGGAGAAAUAUAUCUCAUAUAAAAGUAAACACAAACAAAUUAUAUAAGAAAAAUGUCUUCAUCCAAGCUUCACUUUGUUGUUCUUCUGAUCAUUGUUGCACUUCUUGCUAACAAUGGACAAUCAACUCGAGUAAUGGAUGAUAAGUUUCCAGAAUGCGAAUUCAAAGGACCCUGCCAGAUGAAAAGCGAUUGUUUGGGGACAUGUGGAGGCAAACCUGAAAAUGCUUUGUGUAUACCUAAUCCUAGCGUAGACAGCCUUCAAUGUUGUUGUCUUUCAAACUAAUUUGAUUCAAAUUAUAUUAUACUAUUGAAAUAAGCAGUGAUGUUUUAUCAAUAAUUUCAAACGCUCCAGCAUGGAUUUCAUUAAACGAAUUAAGGAUAAUUAAAUA